UUUCGUCUCUUAUAUCUGUGU
rnacentral:piRNA from 1 species